AGCUUAUUAGAGUUCCAUUACUCUAUAGAUAUAUUCCUUUUUAAAGUGAGAUAAAAGCUAGGAUAAAAGCCAAAAGUGGCGACUGGAACGGCGGAUAAAGAGUUAAGUGCAUUGGAAAAUUACCUUAAAAAUGUCUAAAAUAAAAAAAGCUUUUCUUCAACGCCAUCUGUUGAUUAUUUGAACGGUGAACUUAUUCAAACACAGAUGGCGCACAUUAAGCUUGUUAGUUAUUUUUGCUCCAAAUUGUACAAUCCAGUUUACGAUGACGAUGUUAUUUUUUUCAACUGUAGAAUUUCCGAGGCAGUCCGUCGUCUCCUGAAGAUUUCGUGGGACAACUGAUGCACAGGAAGAUUUCGUUUGCGUCCGGGGGUCGCAAGAGGUCGUCGUUAGCUGCAACGUUGUCAGGGAUUCGUCUUGCUGGCUCAUAUCCUGCCACAGGUGACCGGUUUGGAGUGGCCGAGAAAAGGGUUUCGAAAUCAUUUAUCGUGCUGCCCUGUCGAUUCUGCAUUUUCUGCGCCACGUGGAAAAGACUUCCCAAGUAACCAUGUAGCACUAAAAGAAAUCAUAAAUGAGUUGCUAAACAGCAUUCACCAACUAAUCAGUCAUAAAACAGCUACGGUGAUUGCAAAUUAGCUGUAAAACAACUGCUCUAAUAAUAGAUGGAAUAGAGCUGAUUUGAUGCUGCUACUAGCAACACUGCAACCAAAUAUUUCAUCAAACUGGCAACACUACAAUAUGCCGUGUAAGAGCGAAUGAGAGAGUACACCAACAAACAGAUUCAAAAAUAUUCUUUUCUCUCUCAUCCAUUAAACCAAAACAAAUCGAGCGGGGAGAAAAAUGCAGUCAGAUUAGAAGAUUUAGUUUACGCAGCUGUUGAAACCGUUUUAUUAUGUUGUAACCUCCACCAGCUGACAUGAAAUUACGGCUACGGAGGAAAAAUGGCAAAUUUAUGCGGAGAUUUCAUUGCGCGAAAGCAACAACCGGCUUCGAACGCCCAACAUGGGCAUUUCCCGAGGAACUUCCAACACACGGCUGAUCGGUGCGGUGAAUAAUAUGAAAUUAAACGGUUUAAUAAGUUAAGAGAGCCUGUGGAAUGAUUGCUUUCAAAUCAUAAUAAAUUCAUCCUGAAUCCGCAAAAAAAA
rnacentral:lncRNA from 1 species